rnacentral:rRNA from 1 species
UGGGCGCAAGCCUGAUCUAGCCAUGCCGCGUGAGUGAUGAAGGCCUUAGGGUCGUAAAGCUCUUUCGCCAGGGAUGAUAAUGACAGUACCUGGUAAAGAAACCCCGGCUAACUCCGUGCCAGCAGCCGCGGUAAUACGGAGGGGGUUAGCGUUGUUCGGAAUUACUUGGCGUAAAGCGUACGUAGGCGGAUUAGAAAGUUAGGGGUGAAAUCCCAGGGCUCAACCCUUGAACUGCCUCUAAAACUACUAGUCUAGAGUUCGAGAGAGGUGAGUGGAACUCCGAGUGUAGAGGUGAAAUUCGUAGAUAUUCGGAAGAAAACCAGUGGCGAAGGCGGCUCACUGGCUCGAUACUGACGCUGAGGUACGAAAGUGUGGGGAGCAAACAGGAUUAGAUACCCUGGUAGUCCACACCGUAAACGAUGAAUGCCAGUCGUCGGGUAGUAUACUAUUCGGUGACACACCUAACGGAUUAAGCAUUACGCCUGGGGAGUACGGUCGCAAGAUUAAAACUCAAAGGAAUAGACGGGG